rnacentral:ncRNA from 1 species
CAACGGUAUUGAAAUAUGUAUAUUAUCCUUUAUACCUAUAGAAAGUAAAAAAAACUAUAGGAAUAAAGGAUAUUUAUAUGGUAAAUAAAAUUUUUUUUAAAAAAGCUUUAUGUAUUUAAUUGAUACUUUAUUUAUAGAAGUUUAUCUUUUUCAUUUUUGUUAAAAAUAGUUUUUUAAUUAAUUCUGGCGAAGCCUGUGCCAGCCGCCGCGGUUAUUCAGGCAGAGUAAAAAUUUUAUCUUUAAUUAAAAAAAUUAAUUUUUUUAAUUAAAAAAAUUAAGGUGAAAUUUUUUUUUAGUUUUAAAUUGAUUGAUUUUAUAAAAUUUAUUUGUAAACUAGGAUUAGAUACCCUAUUAUUAAUAUAAGGUGAAAUUGGGAGUAAUUUUUAGGUUAUUAAAUCUUAAGAUUUUGGCGGUAUUCUAAGCUUUUUAGAGGAAUUCAUUCUUUGAUUGAUAAAACUCAAAAAUCUUACUUAAUUUAGUUAAGUCAGUUUGUAUAUCGCUAUCAUUUAUAAUUAUACUAUUUGGUUAUGAUUUUAAUUAUUUUUUUUUAAAAAUGUUAGGUCAAAAUGCAGUGUAAAAUUAAGGUUGAAAUGGGUUACAUUUAUUGAUAUAUGGUUUAUUUGAAAUAUUAUUAAGGAUUUAAUAGUAAGUUAAAAUUAUAAUGUUUAACUGAAAGAAGCUCUAGGAUAUGCACAUAUCGCCCGUCGCUCUCACUUGUGAGAUAAGUCGUAACAAAGUAAAAGUACCGGAAGGUGUUUUU